CGCAGCGAGACAACGUUGCUUCAGCAACGGCCCGCAGGGCGGCUCGCAGAGCCGUAAUCCUCUCUCGCCGACCA
rnacentral:sRNA from 1 species